rnacentral:rRNA from 1 species
GUGCCAGCAGCCGCGGUAAUACGGAGGAUGCGAGCGUUAUCCGGAUUUAUUGGGUUUAAAGGGUGCGCAGGCGGCAGGUCAAGUCAGCGGUCAAACUUCGGCGCUCAACGCCGUAUCGCCGUUGAAACUGGCCGGCUCGAGUGCGUGGGAGGAUGGCGGAAUGCGCGGUGUAGCGGUGAAAUGCAUAGAUAUCGCGCAGAACUCCGAUUGCGAAGGCAGCUGUCCAUCACGCCACUGACGCUCAUGCACGAAAGCGUGGGUAUCGAACAGGAUUAGAUACCCUGGUAGUCCACGCGGUAAACGAUGAUAACUAGUUAUCCGGGGCGAUUGGGCCUUGGGUGACCGAGCGAAAGCGUUAAGUUAUCCACCUGGGGAGUACGCCGGCAACGGUGAAACUCAAAGGAAUUGACGGGGGCCCGCACAAGCGGAGGAACAUGUGGUUUAAUUCGAUGAUACGCGAGGAACCUUACCCGGGCUCAAACGCAAGGCGACAGACCCUGAAAGGGGUUUUUCUUCGGACGUCUUGCGAGGUGCUGCAUGGUUGUCGUCAGCUCGUGCCGUGAGGUGUCGGCUUAAGUGCCAUAACGAGCGCAACCCCCAUCUUCAGUUGCCAUCGGGUGAAGCCGGGCACUCUGGAGAGACUGCCGGCGCAAGCUGUGAGGAAGGCGGGGAUGACGUCAAAUCAGCACGGCCUUUACGUCCGGGGCGACACACGUGUUACAAUGGCGGGGCUACAGCGGGGAGCCAGGCGGCGACGCCGAGCUGAUCCCGAAAACCCGUCUCAGUUCGGAUCGGAGUCUGCAACCCGACUCCGUGAAGCUGGAUUCGCUAGUAAUCGCGCAUCAGCCAUGGCGCGGUGAAUACGUUCCCGGGCCUUGUACACACCGCCCGU